rnacentral:rRNA from 1 species
GAUGAACGCUGGCGGCGUGCUUAACACAUGCAAGUCGAGCGAAGCACUUGAACGGAUUUCUUCGGAUUGAAGUUUUUGUGACUGAGCGGCGGACGGGUGAGUAACGCGUGGGUAACCUGCCUCAUACAGGGGGAUAACAGUUAGAAAUGGCUGCUAAUACCGCAUAAGCGCACAGGACCGCAUGGUCUGGUGUGAAAAACUCCGGUGGUAUGAGAUGGACCCGCGUCUGAUUAGCUAGUUGGAGGGGUAACGGCCCACCAAGGCAACGAUCAGUAGCCGGCCUGAGAGGGUGAACGGCCACAUUGGGACUGAGACACGGCCCAGACUCCUACGGGAGGCAGCAGUGGGGAAUAUUGCACAAUGGGGGAAACCCUGAUGCAGCGACGCCGCGUGAAGGAAGAAGUAUCUCGGUAUGUAAACUUCUAUCAGCAGGGAAGAAAAUGACG